rnacentral:rRNA from 1 species
GGCAGGGGGCCGAAACCUGACGGAGCAAUACCGCGUGAGGGAAGAAUGCCUAUGGGUUGUAAACCUCUUUUUUCAGGGAGGAAUAAAUGGACGUGUACCUGAAGAAUAAGCAUCGGCUAACUCCGUGCCAGCAGCCGCGGUAAGACGGAGGAUGCAGGUGUUAUCCGGAAUCCCUGGGCGUAAAGCGUCUGUAGGUGGUUUAAUAAGCCAACUGUUAAAUCUUGAUGGUUCACCUUCAAAAUCCCAUCCAAACCUAUUAGACUAGAUUAUAUAAGAGGUAAGGGGAUUUCCCCGGGGACCGGGGAAGUCCGUAUUUCUGGAAA